UCUCUCUCUCUCUCUCUUACUUGGUAUUGAAAAAUGCUCCGUCAAUCUCUAUCAUAGUCGUGCUUCUAGGAGUAGGAAUUCCGGUCGUGCCUCUCACGCUUUCGGAUCGAAGAAUUUUCUAUUUCAUUCCACUUCGAUUUUCGAAUUAAGUAGCUCCCCUCCAGAGAGGUUCCGUUUUCCGCCGAAAAGCAACGGGCAACGAAAACUUCAAUUUUUUUCAAAUCCAUAAAAAAUAUUUUUAUGAGAAAAUUAUUUUACGCCGAUCCAAACAAGCGGAACAGCAUUUUUCACACCGAAAAUAAUUUUCGGCUUCGUUUUACGUCCAACCA
rnacentral:lncRNA from 1 species